GCGUAAUUUGGGUUUCUGUGAAGGAAAACAGUGCAGGGAGUAGGGGAGCAUCUCUGCAGACGCCAGUGGGCGCGGAACGGACCCUGAAGGGCGGUGAACGUGGGCGUAGAUCAGGCGCGCGAGGAACCCAGGCUCUGAUCUGGAUUUUCUAGAGUUUGAACUUCUCUGGUAGAGGAAUCUCAAGGAAGACUGAUCACUUCUUACAUUGCUACAGGAUGGCCCAUGUAAGUUGGUGGAGGGUUUUGGAAAUAAUUGGGAUAUUUUAGAUUACAUAGGUAUUUUCCUUGAUUAACCUGAAGCAUUCUGCCUAAGAGAGCACCAUCUAAUUACCUACUUCUUGAGUCUUCCUCUAUGGAGGAAUGAUGCCAAGUAACUGUUUCCUCCUUAUGAGGUCCUCUUUUAUAAUUGGUGUUCAUGAAUUCAUUAGGCAAACUACUGAGCAAGUAAUGUGCUAAAUCUUUGCUGAAGGGCUGUGAUACAACAGUGCAGGAGUAAAUCUCCAUGAGAGAGUUAUAAUACAUCGUUUCAUACUUUCUGUCAAGACGCAGGAGAUACAUCAAUAUACAUUUAUCUGUCUUCCUUUGUAGAUAGAUAGAUGGAUAGAUUUCAUUUAAAUUAAGACAUUUUCCCUAUUCAUUUGGAUUUAUGAAUCCUCUUUAUGAAUUUAUGAAUUCUCUGAAAUAUUUAUCAAUUUUAUUUUGACCUUGAGUUUAUUGCAGAUUUAACCAAGCUCAACCUUCAGGUUUUUUUGACCUUACCUUUUGUGACUUUUCUACACUGUAUGGCAUUCUUGUAAACAAGAUAUUCCGUUUCUAAACCACAUGUGAUUACCUUAUUAGAACAAUGGAAAGAUCCUUGAAUGACAGCGAGGGGAGAUCAAAGACAACAUUGCACAGAUGAGUAAGAACAUGCCAGGUGGGGAAUCACUCGCUGUGGAAAAUAGCCCAGCUGGUCGGUCCCUGAGUUGUUUGGAAAUCUUCAUUCAAAAGCUUGGAGCCAUUGUAGAAAAAGCCUGAGACUUGGGGAAGACACAAAUAUGUCAUCAGCCUUUCCAUAGGAACUGCAUCUUGACCCAUUUUAAUACUCAGUCUCUUGAUUUCUCUCUAAUUUCUUUAGGAGCUUACUUUCUUUCCUGGGGCAGUAUCUCAUCUGUACUUUGACUGCUUUCAGCUCCUCUUUUGCAUUUAGAUUUAUUUGUAUAUUCUGGGAUCACAGUAUUUGAACAGAGAUAAGAACAAGAACAUUCCAAGCUGAUUGAACAGCACAUGCAGAUGCCUUGAGGUGGGAAUAAGCUUUAUGUGUUUCUGAAGGAAUAAGUAGGGUGGGGCAGAAUUGAUGAAAGAACCACAUGUGAAGAGUAAGAAAAAAUGUAGAGCGUUGGGAGGUACUAGGUCCUAUUAUAGUUUUUUGUUAAUGGUCAAGAAUUUGGAUUCUUUUCUAAAGUGACUAGAAACUAUGGUCAAGUUUAUGUGUUUCUAAUUUUUAAAUUUUAAAAGACAACCACAUUAAAAUAUAUGGCACAUACUUUUGUAACCAUCGCCCUGGUCAGAAGAUAAAACAGUAUUGUAAAACAACAGGCUUACCAAAAAGAUGGAAAAUGAUAUGAAGAAUUAUUAUAGACCAGGCACAGUGGCUCACAUCUGUAAUCCUAGCACUCUCGGAGACUGAGGUGGGCAGAUUGCCUGAGCUCAGGAGUUGGACUUCAGCCUGAGCAAGAGUGAGAACCUAUCCCUACUAAAAAAAAAAUACAAAAACUGGCUCAGCGCCUGUAGCUCAAACAGGGUGCCAGCCACAUACACUGGAGCUGGCAGGUUUGAGCCCAGCCUGGGCUUGCCAAACAAUGACAACUACAACUACAACCAGAAAAUAGCCAGGCAUUGUGGUGGGCGCCCGUAGUCCCAGCUACUUGGGAG